UAGGGAAUCUUCCACAAUGGACGCAAGUCUGAUGGAGCAACGCCGCGUGAGUGAAGAAGGUUUUCGGAUCGUAAAGCUCUGUUGUUGGUGAAGAAGGAUAGAGGUAGUAACUGACCUUUGUUUGACGGUAAUCAAUUAGAAAGUCACGGCUAACUACGUGCCAGCAGCCGCGGUAAUACGUAGGUGGCAAGCGUUGUCCGGAUUUAUUGGGCGUAAAGCGAGUGCAGGCGGCUCGAUAAGUCUGAUGUGAAAGCCUUCGGCUCAACCGGAGAAUUGCAUCAGAAACUGUCGAGCUUGAGUACAGAAGAGGAGAGUGGAACUCCAUGUGUAGCGGUGGAAUGCGUAGAUAUAUGGAAGAACACCAGUGGCGAAGGCGGCUCUCUGGUCUGCAACUGACGCUGAGGCUCGAAAGCAUGGGUAGCGAACAGG
rnacentral:rRNA from 1 species